UCUCUACCUAAUCUUCUCGAACUUGACUUUUCUGAGAACCAAUUUACAGGCCAAAUUCCACCUCAGUUUAACUCCCUGAAGUUUACUUUUCUCAAUCUCUCUUCCAAUCAUCUCACAGGGGAAAUCCCAAUCAGUUUAGAAAAUGCUGCUUAUAAUAACAGCUUCUUGAAUAAUCCUGGUCUCUGUACCAAAAGUUCAUUGCCAAGCCUUAAUGUCUGCAAUUUCAAUACUCAAAAAUCAAGCAAAAAAUCAACCGAACCCAUAGCUCUAAUAUCAAGUGUUUUGGCAACAGCCUUUGUGUUGGCUUCGUUACUCUCAUUC
rnacentral:misc_RNA from 1 species